rnacentral:rRNA from 2 species
UACCUAAGGAGGAAGCCCCGGCUAACUAUGUGCCAGCAGCCGCGGUAAUACAUAGGGGGCGAGCGUUGUCCGGAAUCAUUGGGCGUAAAGGGCGCGUAGGCGGGAAUACAAGUCUGUUUUUAAAGUUCAGGGCUCAACCCUGUGAUGGACCAGAAACUAUAUUUCUUGAGGGCAGGAGAGGAAAGUGGAAUUCCUAGUGUAGCGGUGAAAUGCGUAGAUAUUAGGAGGAACACCAGUGGCGAAGGCGGCUUUCUGGACUGCAACUGACGCUGAGGCGCGAAAGCUGGGGGAGCGAACAGGAUUAGAUACCCUGGUAGUCCCAGCCGUAAACGAUGGAUACUAGGUGUGGGGGGUAUCGACCCCUCCCGUGCCGGAGUUAACGCAAUAAGUAUCCCGCCUGGGGAGUACGGCCGCAAGGUUGAAACU